rnacentral:rRNA from 1 species
GAUCCUGGCUCAGAAUCAACGCUGGCGGCGUGCCUAACACAUGCAAGUCGCACGAGAAAGGGGCUUCGGCCUUGAGUAAAGUGGCGCACGGGUGAGUAACACGUGAAUUAUCUACCUCCGAGUGGGGAAUAACUGAGAGAAAUCUUAGCUAAUACCGCAUAACACUUACGAGUCAAAGCAGCAAUGCGCUUGGAGAGGAGUUCGCGGCAGAUUAGUUAGUUGGCGGGGUAAUGGCCCACCAAGACGAUGAUCUGUAUCCGGCCUGAGAGGGCGCACGGACACACUGGAACUGAAACACGGUCCAGACUCCUACGGGAGGCAGCAGUGGGGAAUUUUGCGCAAUGGGGGAAACCCUGACGCAGCAACGCCGCGUGGAGGAUGAAAUAUCUUGGUAUGUAAACUCCUUUCGAUGGGGAAGAUUAUGACGGUACCCAUAGAAGAAGCCCCGGCUAACUUCGUGCCAGCAGCCGCGGUAAUACGAGGGGGGCAAGCGUUGUUCGGAUUUAUUGGGCGUAAAGGGUGCGUAGGCGGUUUGGCAAGUCUUGUGUGAAAUCUAUGGGCUCAACCCAUAGUCUGCACAAGAAACUGCCGGGCUUGAGUAUGGGAGAGGUGAGUGGAAUUUCCGGUGUAGCGGUGAAAUGCGUAGAUAUCGGAAGGAACACCUGUGGCGAAAGCGGCUCACUGGACCAU